CACGGCUACAAUCUUGUUAUAAGUAACUAAUAUUUUCCAUAAAUGCAUUAUUCAAAAAUCGCGCCGCCAUGUCAGGUGUUGUACAGACGAGAAUUCCUGCAAAUGAGCUUCCACCUCCGUACGAGCAGACCGAACCAAUGAAAGUACCAGAAAAGGCAGAGUAUUAAUCAUGAUGAGCGGAAGUGACGUAAUCAAAUUGAAUCCAGGUCAAGCGGAAGUGAUGUCAUAAAAUUGAACCAAGAUCCAGCAAGAAUUACAAUAUAACUAAAUGACUAUUCAAGAGUUUUGAAGAUUUAACAAGUAACAAAAUUCAGAAAUUUAUCUUAACUAAUUGAAACUGCACGCUCACAGAUUGAAUGUUUUGACAACCUUUUUAUGCUUUGUCUUGGAACGAGCAAUUAUGCGAAAAUGCAUGGAAACCGGUGAUAUUAGACUGCUGACAAAAAUCAGAUCGCAGAUUUUCAUAUUUACGUUCAAAAAUUGAUGUUUUAUGCAUUUUUCUUAAAUCGUUAGUAACGCGUUUAGACAUAAAACAUAAAUUUUCGAAUGGAAAUAUGGAAAUCUGUGAUCUGAUCUUUUAUCAGCAGUCUUAUAUCACUGGUUUGCUGAUACAUACGCAAAAAAUGGCUCAUUCCAAGACAAAAUAAUAAAAACAAAUAGUCAAAACGGCGAAUCCGUGAGAAUGAAGCUUGUACAGCGAACGUGAUGAUUAUUUACAACUUUAUGCGAAUUAUGUGGUUUCAUCUUCCUAUGAGUUGUAUCACAUUCAUUAAUGAAUCUUAUGAUAUCCAUUUAAAACUAAUAUAUAAUUUAGGGCUCAACUCAACUCAACUCAACUCAUCUCAACUCAACUCAACUUACCAUUAUUUCCAAAUCACGUGGUGAUAUUCAUAGUAUAUACAUACAUCGUAUUAUGAUUGAUAAUAGAUAUUACAAAACUGUACGAAAUGAGCAGAUUAGCGUUUCACUUUUAUUUAUUCUACAAUGCAAUGCAUAGCAUUAUGUCGGGAACAUGUUUUAAAUCAUAGCUUUAUGUGUUAGACAUCCAGACACUUAUGAUGAAAUCGGUUAUGGAGAAUUUAUUUAAUUAUUUAUUUCACACACCUAUGUUAUGCUCUUAUGUGGUUUAGCAAUACAGUAAACUAUCAUUAAUAAAUUAAUAAUGCAUUAUCCUUAGUAAAACAGUUGAGUGGGUUCUCUUCUUAGCAGCUACUUUGCUCUGCGAUUCCUUUCUGUCUUAUACUAUUUUAAUCGUUUUUAUGUAUUUAUACUGUAUACUUACAAAAUGUUCUUAAGAGAUUAUUGUGCUUGUGUUAUGUUUUAUUUUCUAUUUUAGAAAGGCUCUUGUCCUUAAAAAAAUAUAAUAAAUUGUAUAAUAUAUCGCCUCUAUUAUUUUCCCAUUUUAUACGCUCUACAAGUUUUUCUUCUUUUUUUCUUUAAAGAAAUAUCAUUUUUGACACAUUUCCUUACAUCGAUGGAAUUAAAUAAUAAAGCAUACAAUAAUAACGAAUGUGUCCGUUUCCUGGGAAGAAAGAUACAGUAGGGAGUUCAUUUUGAAAGGUCACUAAAUAGGGCAUCGAAUAGCUGACCCUUUUGUGGAUAGUCGAGCACCUACACACGGGAUCGAGUAGUGUCAGUUUAUGCAAAUAUUGUAAUGUGAUGUGUUAGUAUUGUAUGAUAGUUUUUAAAUGCCAUACACACAGGUAUCCGUCACCAUAUUUUAGUGAUCAAGCUAUGUGACGGACACCUGUGGUCAUACAUCUUACUGCGUUAAUACUUCAUGUUUAUUAGUUCAGCUUUAAACUAACAAUUUGUUUGAUAAUGUUAAAUAAAACGAUAUUACCACGGUUUUUAAACACCCUGUUUCUCAAAUCGCCUUAAAAGCUCACUGAAUGACCCGAUAUGCAUGUUUGAUAUAUACUUAUAUGGUGUCCAAGCUACUUAGCUAAAUUGGAAAAUAAAUUGAA